rnacentral:rRNA from 1 species
UGGCGGGACGGGGUGGAGUAAUGUCUGGGAAACUGCCCGAUGGAGGGGGAUAACUACUGGAAACGGUAGCUAAUACCGCAUAACGUCGCAAGACCAAAGAGGGGGACCUUCGGGCCUCUUGCCAUCGGAUGAACCCAUAUGGGAUUAGCUUGUAGGUAAGGUAACGGCUUACCUAGGCGACGAUCCCUAGCUGGUCUGAGAGGAUGAUCAGCCACACUGGGACUGAGACACGGCCCAG